rnacentral:lncRNA from 1 species
AAAAAAAUGUAGAGUUUUUGUUAUUUUGAUUGGUUCAUAGUAAAUUUAAAUUGAUUUUAUUUAGUACACAUAUUCUGAUAUUUUCAACUUUAUCACAUUCAAAAUUGAGUUAAUAUAUCCACUUUCAUAUUUUAAAAUUAAAAUCUAGUCUAUGAAAUAAAAAUAUUGAAAAAUGACCAAUAUUUAAGUAAAAGUACAAAAUCACUCCUAACAAAAAAAUAUAAAAAUUUAGCCACUCAUCCCAAAGCAAAAAAAAAAAAUUACUGCCCCUUACCCUGCUCCACCCCCCUUCUAACCACCCACCCCCAAG